GAGCGGCGGUUCCGGGCGGGCGGGGAAACGGCCGGCGGGGGUCCGGGCCGGGGCCGGGUUUUUGGGGUCCCCCGCCCCAAGCCUGCGGCCGGGCAGCGGCGGCGGAGCCCCGGCCGAGGCGGCUGGCAGGCCCUGGCCGGCCCUCGCUGGGGUCGAACAGCGCUUCCCCCCCCCCAAAAAAACCCGCGAGCGGUGGGCUUACUGGGCAGGAUCGGACUGAGUUUGUGGGUUAGCACGGCAGCAUCUUUUUGUUUUGGUUGGGCGGGUGGGGUUUUUUUGUUUUUAAAAAAGGAUUUAUUUAGGAAUUCAGUACCCUGAAGUAACGGCAGCUUGUGCGGAGAGGGGAACCACGGGGAGCACCUGUCCACCCAGCAGCCGUGGCUGACCGAGGGGCCUUUUGCCUCCCGCUCCUUUGCAGUAUUUGACAAAUUGUUUAAAUGCCAUUCUUUUUUUGUACCAUGUGACUGAAUAACAGUUACGUAAAACAAAAAUGACUAUUCCCCUUUUCCCAAAAUAUAAAAUUAAGUUUAACAUACGUGUCAGAGGACUAAGCAGUACCAGUCUGGAGCUAUCUUACACUUAAAAUAUAAAGAUACAGCGGUCUACAGUCUUCUGUCUAAACUUACAAAGAUAUACCUGGCAUCUUGGAUGCUGACCAAAAUCAAAAGGAUUUUCUUCUGCCUCUUUAGUUGGAUUGAAUAGCUAAAUAAUUGUGGAGACACAAAUAAAAAAGGUGUUCCUGUUCUGACAGCUGCUAAAACGUCUAGCUUUGCUGUUGCGUGAACGACAGUGACCCGUAGCACAUUAAACUGGACGUGGACAGACAUUCAUAAGCCAUUUGCUGCAGAUCAGCAAGAGACUUCUCCUAAGCUGAGGCGUCACUUUUGUGCUCCUAGGUUCUCGGGAAUAUGAAAUGGCAUACAGUGGCUUGAACCACUGUGAUGAGCGCUAAUACCACUUUCCUCAGCUGAAACUGCACAAAACGUUUUUGGUUUUGUUUUUUUUUUGAUUAGCAGUUAACUGAAGUGCUUGAAAUAAGGCCUAUCAGAAGCAGUAGGCCAGCUGAAAGCAGUAGGACACUGUACAGCCUGUGGAAAGCAGGACUGCAGCGCUGUUGGAAGAUCCAGCUGGUGAAAAACAUCUAACCCCUAAUGCGGUGAAGCUUGCGACUAAUACUCCCUUAAACCACGUGCUGCCUGCUGAAACAUCAGGCCUUGAGUAUUUCAGGCUGCUGCUUCAUAACCACAUUCUCGGGCAGACCACCAGGCCUGAUCUGCUUGUUUGGACCCUGUACAAAAGAUGGAGAUGGGAAAUCCUCAUUGCCCGGGAGGAUGAACGUCAGUUCUUUGCAAAUAUCAUCCCAGAAUAGCAGCCAGAGCUGCAGAAACAAGACCAUCAGAACUCGCCCAGCACCUUGCAGUGGAUGUUGUCCAGACUGGAGAGGUGGAUCAAGCAGUACCGUACCACACGGGGAUUGUACAUGGAGGAAAAGUAAGAUGGCUUCUGCAUGUAAGGCCUUACACAGGUGAUAGUGAUUUGUGUACUGAGGUACUACUGUCAACUGCAAGUGAGAGGACAGUGAGUAGGUUGCACUCAAUGAAGUGAAGGUUUGCGGUACAGCUUUGAACUACAUGUUUCAGAAGGAUGUUUGGCCCUGACCUAAUGCAAAAUAGACCCCCCAAGUCAGAGGUGAGGAGCCUCAGCACUAGACAUUUCGGUCUGCUGCUCUGUUUGAGUUGCACCAAAUUAAUUACUAGCAUAGAUGGUCCCACCACCUUUGGAAUUCCAGAACUUCCUGGACUGUGGCAUCUUUCUAGUAAACGUGGAGAUUGAAGACCUUACUACAAAUCUAUCUGGAAGCACAGGGAUGAGGGAUAGUGCAAGUCUGAGGGGAAAAAAAAGCCCGUGUUCUCACUAUAGGGAUCAUUCUGAGAGAGAGGAGGCUAGCUGCAGCCACCAUUUUAUCACUUGGUAUUUGCUCACUGUGACUCUAAAACAAUGGAGAACAUGCAGGUAAAUGGUGCAGCUGGGCAGUGCAGGAUGCACUGCUGCGUGAAAAUGCAGCUGAAGACCACCAAAAUAAUUUGGAGCAGAUUGGAUAACACAAAUAUUACUGUGACUACUGAUUCCAACAGGAGUGAAAAUGUCAGAGGUGUUCAGCUGUGUUCAAGGAUUGUGUUGAUAUGGUCUGAUUUACAGCAGAAAUAGGUCUUUGGAGGAAUGUGCCUUUGCAGUGUAAGAAUUGUACUUCCAGCUUCUGUUUUCUAUACUUUGACUGCACAAUAAAUCGUUUUUUUCUUAGGUGGCUUAAUAUUCUUGAUAACUACCAGUUGCUAUGGAGUUACGUGAGCCUUUUCUGCCUGUUUAUUAGUCAGCUGCGAAUACUUACCCUUAAAAUCUUGUGCAAAAACAGCAACCCAAAAGACCAACAUGCAGAGAUGAAAAUGGUAUGUUUCUUGGACAUUUUUGUAAGACUUCUAUCCAUUUUUUUAAUGACUAAUGGUUCAGGCAUGCAAUGGAGUUCUGGAGAGUUAGUUACUGAAUACCAACCAAACUCUGGGAACUCUUUUGGUACCUUGCCUCAGCCAGG